rnacentral:rRNA from 1 species
GACGUAGGGCGCGAGCGUUGUCCGGAUUUAUUGGGCGUAAAGAGCUCGUAGGCGGCUUUGUCAGUCGGGUGUGAAACCUCCAGGCUCAACCUGGAGCCGCCACCCGAUACUGCAAUAGCUAGAGUCCGGUAGGGGAGCAUGGAACUCCUGGUGUAGCGGUGAAAUGCGCAGAUAUCAGGAAGAACACCAGUGGCGAAGGCGGUGCUCUGGGCCGGAACUGACGCUGAGGAGCGAAAGCGUGGGGAGCAAACAGG